AGUAGGAUAAGCUAAGCACACUGUUGGUUAUGUGUGCCCAAGCAUUGAGGCAGUCAAAGUAGGCAAAUCCGCUUUGAUAAUGCUGGGAUGUGAUGGGGAGCGAAAUUUAGUAGCGAAGUAGCUGAUUUCACACUGUCAAGAAAAGUCUCUAUCGAGGUUAAAGGUACCCGUACCGCAAACCGACACAGGUGGGUGAGGAGAGUAUCCUAAGGCCAGCGAGAGAACUGUUGUUAAGGAACUCGGCAAAAUGACCCCGUAACUUAGGGAUAAGGGGUGCCACCAUCAGGUGGCCGCAGAGAAUAGGCCCAAGCGACUGUUUACCAAAAACAUAGGUUUCUGCUAAGUCGCAAGACGAUGUAUAGGAGCUGACGCCUGCCCGGUGCUGGAAGGUUAAGGGGAUCUGUUAGAGCAAUCGAAGCAGUGAACUUAAGCCCCAGUAAACGGCGGCCGUAACUAUAACGGUCCUAAGGUAGCGAAAUUCCUUGUCGGGUAAGUUCCGACCCGCACGAAAGGCGUAACGAUUUGGGCACUGUCUCAACAACAGACUCGGUGAAAUUGUAAUUCCGGUGAAGAUGCCGGAUACCUGCGACAGGACGGAAAGACCCCAUGGAGCUUUACUGUAGCUUGACAUUGGGUCUUGGUACUACAUGUACAGGAUAGGUGGGAGGCUUUGAAACCAGGACGCCAGUUUUGGCGGAGCCAUCCUUGGGAUACCACCCUUGUAGUACUGGGACUCUAACCAUAGGCCAUGAAUCUGGUCUUGGGACACUGUCAGGUGGGCAGUUUGACUGGGGCGGUCGCCUCCCAAAAGGUAACGGAGGCGCUCAAAGGUUCUCUCAGUACGGUCGGAAAUCGUACGUAGAGUGUAAAGGCAAAAGAGAGCUUGAUUGCAAGACAUACAGGUCGAGCAAGGAUGAAAAUCGGACUUAGUGAUCCGGUGGUUCUGCGUGGAAGGGCCAUCGCUCAACGGAUAAAAGCUACCCUGGGGAUAACAGGCUUAUCUCCCCCAAGAGUCCACAUCGACGGGGAGGUUUGGCACCUCGAUGUCGGCUCAUCACAUCCUGGGGCUGUAGUAGGUCCCAAGGGUUGGGCUGUUCGCCCAUUAAAGUGGUACGCGAGCUGGG
rnacentral:rRNA from 1 species